AUGUCACUACGCCGCAGCUCAGCGGCUGCGCUCGCGGCGCUGCUGGCGCUGGCGGUGCUGCUGGGCACGUCGGCGGACGAUGGCGGCCAGGGCCAACCAAUCGUGGCGCGCGUGAGCAAGGACGCCUCCACCUCCCUCUACACCAUCGCCAUCAAGGUCGGCGGCGUGCCGCUCCUCGUCGACCUCGCCGGCCCGAUGCUCUGGCUCGCCAACUGCCCCACCCCGCACCGCAUCAUCCCCUGCGUCUCCCACGACUGCGACGACGUCUCCACUACGUACCGCCCGCCUGGCUGCCCGAAGCCCAACCUUCGUGGAGACGGGCCGUGCGCCUGCCCUGCAUACCCGCGCAACCCGGUCGACGGGCGCUGCCGCUCUGACGACGCCACCACGAUCACCCUCGCCGCCAAUGCCACGGACGGUCAGAACCCGCUCUACCCGGUCACCUUCCGCGCCGUCGGGUCCUGCGCGCCAGGGGAGCUCCUGGAGUCGCUCCCGGCGGGAGCGGCCGGCGUCGCGGGCCUCUCAAGGCUACCGCUGUCGCUACCGACCCAGUUCGCGUCCUUGCUCAAGGUAGCGAACGAGUUCGCGUUGUGCCUGCCCAGCGGCGGCGACGGCGUGGCAGUCUUCGGCGGCGGCCCGUUCCAGCUCCUGGCGGCGCCGCCCGUGGAGCUCGCCGAGCGCCUCCGCGAGAACCCGCUCCCGCUCCUCAAGCACCCCUACAACGGCGGCUACUACUUCGGCAUCACCGGCAUCGCCGUGAACCAGCAGCGCGUGCCGACGCCGGACGGCGUCUUCGACCUCGACGCCGGCAGCGGCACGGGCGGCGCCGUCUUCAGCACCGUCACGCCCUACACCGCGCUCCGCUGGGACAUCUACUGGCCGCUCCGCAACGCGUUCGACGUGGCCACGAGCGGCAUCGCGCGCGCGGACAAGGUGGCGCCGUUCGACCUGUGCUACCAGGCGUCCGCGCUCACCGUGACCCGGGUGGGCUACGCCGUGGCCAGCAUCGAGCUGAUGCUGGACGGCGGCCGGAACUGGACGCUGCCCGGCGCCAGCUCGCUCGUGCAGGUCAACGACAACACCGUGUGCUUCGCGUUCGUCCAGAUGGCGUCGUCCAUGCCAGCGGCAAUCGACUCGCCGGCGGUCAUCCUCGGGGGGCACCAGAUGGAGAACAACCUGCUGAUGUUCGAUCUGGUGAAGGAGACGUUCGCGUUCAGUGGGCUUCUCCUCGGAAUCCGCACUACGUGCAGCAACUUCAACUUCACCAUGGGCAGUUCUUAUUAG
rnacentral:rRNA from 1 species